rnacentral:rRNA from 1 species
AACGCUAGCUACAGGCUUAACACAUGCAAGUCGAGGGGAAACGAUAUUGGAAGCUUGCUUCCGAUAGGCGUCGACCGGCGCACGGGUGAGUAACGCGUAUCCAACCUGCCCAUCACUUGGGGAUAACCUUGCGAAAGUAAGACUAAUGCCCAAUGAUAUCUCUAGAAGACAUCUGAAAGAGAUUAAAGAUUUAUCGGUGAUGGAUGGGGAUGCGUCUGAUUAGCUUGUUGGCGGGGUAACGGCCCACCAAGGCAACGAUCAGUAGGGGUUCUGAGAGGAAGGUCCCCCACAUUGGAACUGAGACACGGUCCAAACUCCUACGGGAGGCAGCAGUGAGGAAUACUGGUCAAUGGACGAGAGUCUGAACCAGCCAAGUAGCGUGCAGGAAGACGGCCCUAUGGGUUGUAAACUGCUUUUAUACAGGAAUAAAGUUAGCCACGUGUGGUUAUUUGUAGGUACUGUAUGAAUAAGGACCGGCUAAUUCCGUGCCAGCAGCCGCGGUAAUACGGAAGGUCCAGGCGUUAUCCGCAUUUAUUGGGUUUAAAGGGAGCGUAGGCCGUCUGUUAAGCGUGUUGUGAAAUGUAGAUGCUCAACAUCUGAAUUGCAGCGCGAACUGGCAGACUUGAGUGUGCGCAACGUAGGCGGAAUUCGUGGUGUAGCGGUGAAAUGCUUAGAUAUCACGAAGAACUCCGAUUG